UUAAGAGCUAAAGUAAGAAUGUAAGAAAAUAAGGGCUGGUGCAAGAAAAUAAUAGGCCUACACGCGGUGGUCCAUAUUUCAAACAAGCCUGCGUAUUUCCACCUAUCAUCCCUGUCCAUAAAUUCGUAUAAUCUCUUAAAACUACCUAAUGACUCAGCGCUAACAACCUGGUUCGUUUGUCUCCACCGUGUGGAUUAAUAUAUUCCUUAACUAUCUCGUUGUAUUAAACUGCUUGUAAUGGUUGACGUAUUCUGGUCUGCAUCCUUCAUUUGUAUCUUGUUUGUAUUCUUGUAUUCUUAAGCACUUCAUCUCAAAAUAAGGGCAAAGAUAGUUAGUCUUUGCCAUGCGGAUAAAAUAUUUCCUCAAACUACCUCGUUAAAUUAAUCUGCUUGUAAUUGUUGAUGUAUUCUGGUUUGUGUUCUCCAUUUGUAUCUUGUUCGUAUUGUUAAGCUCUUGGUUCUUUCACCAGGACUGUUAACAAAUGCCACAGAGGUGAUUAGUCAGGUUCUCAUGGGUGUUCUCAUUAAUGACGCAGGAUCCUCACCAAACCAUCACUGAGUCAUGAUAGUGCCAUUAUCACUUCGUUGACUUUCACUACAGGCUGUAAAACUAUCACCCAAGGAAACACACUUGUAAAUCCCUAACAGUUUGUACUAUACCCUGCUAAAACAUUCGUAAAACCACGAUAACUUCCAGUAAAUCAAAGGAAAUUGCCAAUAAACCAUGAAAAUACCCUUGCAAAACUCGUCACCUCACUAAUCAUAAUUUCAAUCACUAAAGUCACGAAAACAUCCUUGGAAAACCAAAUAACUUUAGCUCGGGUUUGGUAAAAGUAGUGGAGGUAUUUUCUUUUCUUCCCUUUUGUUGCCUCAGCCCGGUGUCCCUCUGAUAUGAAAAAACAAAAAAAACAAGACAUUGAAGCGUUCGAGAUAGCGAGAAAGUUACGAAGCUUCAGCAGACGUGAACUAACGCCUGGCUCUAGCCGCGUCGCUCUCUCUACCUCCGUCCGCCGCCCAGGUAAGGUCAUCCCAGCCACGUGCCGCCGCCUCGCUCCGCUGCUUCACAAGGCGCUCCACGCGUGCCACAGCCAGCCGGCGCUCCUUAUUGGCGGCCUGAAGACCCACGCACCCCAGCAACAAGGUGAAGGCUGUGCUCUGGCAGGUCGCUCUAGCUUGCCAUCAUAGGUGCUAGCCUGCCCUGAGCGCCCUCCUCUCUGCCUGUGACGCGCCGGGGGUGUCUGGCUGGGCGAGUGGCUCAAUUCAAAUAUUGUUUCAAUUGAACGUUGUUCUCGGUUAAGAACUUUUUUAAAUCGUUUAAUUCUGAUGUUUGGUUAUCAAAUAGUAAAAAUCCGUCUUUUUAAA